rnacentral:rRNA from 1 species
AGCGAACGCUGGCGGCAGGCUUAACACAUGCAAGUCGAACGGGCGUAGCAUUACGUCAUCGGCUGACGGGUGGGUAACGGGUGGGAACGUACGUUUUGGUCCGGAACUACACAGGGGAACUUGUUCUAAUACCGGAGAAGACCUUACGGGGGAAGAUUUAUCGCCGAAGGCUCGGGCCGCGUCUGAUUAGCUAGUUGGUUGGGUAACGGCUUACCAAGGCGACGAUCAGUAGCUGGUCUGAGAGGAUGAUCAGCCACAUUGGGACUGAGACACGGCCCAGACUCCUAGGGAAGGCAGCAGUGGGGAAUAUUGGACAAUGGGGGCAACCCUGAUCCAGCCAUGCCGGGUAAGUGAUGAAGGCGCUAGGGUUGUGAAGCUCUUUUGUACGGGAAGAUAAUGACGGUACCGCAAGAAUAAGCCCCGGCUAACUUCGUG